UACGGGGGGAGCAAGCGUUGUUCGGAUUUACUGGGCGUAAAGGGCGCGUAGGCGGCCACCGCAAGUCGACUGUGAAAUCUCCGGGCUUAACCCGGAACGGUCAGCUGAUACUGUUUUGCUAGAGUGCAGAAAGGGCAAUCGGAAUUCUUGGUGUAGCGGUGAAAUGCGUAGAUAUCAAGAGGAACACCUGAGGCGAAGGCGGGUUGCUAGGCUGACACUGACGCUGAGGCGCGAAAGCCAGGGGAGCAAACGGG
rnacentral:rRNA from 1 species